rnacentral:rRNA from 1 species
AAAACAUGCAAGUCGAGCGGGCCCUUCGGGGUCAGCGGCGGACGGGUGAGUAACGCGUGGGAACGUGCCCUCUGGUUCGGAAUAACUCAGGGAAACUUGAGCUAAUACCGGAUACGCCCUUUUGGGGAAAGGCUUGCUGCCGGAGGAUCGGCCCGCGUCUGAUUAGCUAGUUGGUGAGGUAACGGCUCACCAAGGCGACGAUCAGUAGCUGGUCUGAGAGGAUGAUCAGCCACACUGGGACUGAGACACGGCCCAUACUCCUACGGGAGGCAGCAGUGGGGAAUAUUGGACAAUGGGCGCAAGCCUGAUCCAGCCAUGCCGCGUGAGUGAUGAAGGCCUUAGGGUUGUAAAGCUCUUU